UUAAGCGACUAAGCGUACACGGUGGAUGCCCUGGCAGUCAGAGGCGAUGAAGGACGUGCUAAUCUGCGAUAAGCGUCCGGUAAGGUGAUAUGAACCGUUAUAACCGGCGAUUUCCGAAUGGGGAAACCCAGUGUGUUUCGACACACUAUCAUUAACUGAAUCCAUAGGUUAAUGAGGCGAACCGGGGGAACUGAAACAUCUAAGUACCCCGAGGAAAAGAAAUCAACCGAGAUUCCCCCAGUAGCGGCGAGCGAACGGGGAGGAGCCCAGAGUCUGAAUCAGUGUGUGUGUUAGUGGAAGCGUCUGGAAAGGCGCGCGAUACAGGGUGACAGCCCCGUACACAAAAAUGCACAUACUGUGAGCUCGAUGAGUAGGGCGGGACACGUGGUAUCCUGUCUGAAUAUGGGGGGACCAUCCUCCAAGGCUAAAUACUCCUGACUGACCGAUAGUGAACCAGUACCGUGAGGGAAAGGCGAAAAGAACCCCGGCGAGGGGAGUGAAAAAGAACCUGAAACCGUGUACGUACAAGCAGUGGGAGCACGCUUAGGCGUGUGACUGCGUACCUUUUGUAUAAUGGGUCAGCGACUUAUAUUCUGUAGCAAGGUUAACCGAAUAGGGGAGCCGAAGGGAAACCGAGUCUUAACUGGGCGUUAAGUUGCAGGGUAUAGACCCGAAACCCGGUGAUCUAGCCAUGGGCAGGUUGAAGGUUGGGUAACACUAACUGGAGGACCGAACCGACUAAUGUUGAAAAAUUAGCGGAUGACUUGUGGCUGGGGGUGAAAGGCCAAUCAAACCGGGAGAUAGCUGGUUCUCCCCGAAAGCUAUUUAGGUAGCGCCUCGUGAAUUCAUCUCCGGGGUAGAGCACUGUUUCGGCAAGGGGGUCAUCCCGACUUACCAACCCGAUGCAAACUGCGAAUACCGGAGAAUGUUAUCACGGGAGACACACGGCGGGUGCUAACGUCCGUCGUGAAGAGGGAAACAACCCAGACCGCCAGCUAAGGUCCCAAAGUCAUGGUUAAGUGGGAAACGAUGUGGGAAGGCCCAGACAGCCAGGAUGUUGGCUUAGAAGCAGCCAUCAUUUAAAGAAAGCGUAAUAGCUCACUGGUCGAGUCGGCCUGCGCGGAAGAUGUAACGGGGCUAAACCAUGCACCGAAGCUGCGGCAGCGACGCUUAUGCGUUGUUGGGUAGGGGAGCGUUCUGUAAGCCUGUGAAGGUGUGCUGUGAGGCAUGCUGGAGGUAUCAGAAGUGCGAAUGCUGACAUAAGUAACGAUAAAGCGGGUGAAAAGCCCGCUCGCCGGAAGACCAAGGGUUCCUGUCCAACGUUAAUCGGGGCAGGGUGAGUCGACCCCUAAGGCGAGGCCGAAAGGCGUAGUCGAUGGGAAACAGGUUAAUAUUCCUGUACUUGGUGUUACUGCGAAGGGGGGACGGAGAAGGCUAUGUUGGCCGGGCGACGGUUGUCCCGGUUUAAGCGUGUAGGCUGGUUUUCCAGGCAAAUCCGGAAAAUCAAGGCUGAGGCGUGAUGACGAGGCACUACGGUGCUGAAGCAACAAAUGCCCUGCUUCCAGGAAAAGCCUCUAAGCAUCAGGUAACAUCAAAUCGUACCCCAAACCGACACAGGUGGUCAGGUAGAGAAUACCAAGGCGCUUGAGAGAACUCGGGUGAAGGAACUAGGCAAAAUGGUGCCGUAACUUCGGGAGAAGGCACGCUGAUAUGUAGGUGAAGUCCCUUGCGGAUGGAGCUGAAAUCAGUCGAAGAUACCAGCUGGCUGCAACUGUUUAUUAAAAACACAGCACUGUGCAAACACGAAAGUGGACGUAUACGGUGUGACGCCUGCCCGGUGCCGGAAGGUUAAUUGAUGGGGUCAGCGCAAGCGAAGCUCUUGAUCGAAGCCCCGGUAAACGGCGGCCGUAACUAUAACGGUCCUAAGGUAGCGAAAUUCCUUGUCGGGUAAGUUCCGACCUGCACGAAUGGCGUAAUGAUGGCCAGGCUGUCUCCACCCGAGACUCAGUGAAAUUGAACUCGCUGUGAAGAUGCAGUGUACCCGCGGCAAGACGGAAAGACCCCGUGAACCUUUACUAUAGCUUGACACUGAACAUUGAGCCUUGAUGUGUAGGAUAGGUGGGAGGCUUUGAAGUGUGGACGCCAGUCUGCAUGGAGCCGACCUUGAAAUACACCCUUUAAUGUUUGAUGUUCUAACGUGGACCCGUGAUCCGGGUUGCGGACAGUGUCUGGUGGGUAGUUUGACUGGGGCGGUCUCCUCCUAAAGAGUAACGGAGGAGCACGAAGGUUGGCUAAUCCUGGUCGGACAUCAGGAGGUUAGUGCAAUGGCAUAAGCCAGCUUGACUGCGAGCGUGACGGCGCGAGCAGGUGCGAAAGCAGGUCAUAGUGAUCCGGUGGUUCUGAAUGGAAGGGCCAUCGCUCAACGGAUAAAAGGUACUCCGGGGAUAACAGGCUGAUACCGCCCAAGAGUUCAUAUCGACGGCGGUGUUUGGCACCUCGAUGUCGGCUCAUCACAUCCUGGGGCUGAAGUAGGUCCCAAGGGUAUGGCUGUUCGCCAUUUAAAGUGGUACGCGAGCUGGGUUUAGAACGUCGUGAGACAGUUCGGUCCCUAUCUGCCGUGGGCGCUGGAGAACUGAGGGGGGCUGCUCCUAGUACGAGAGGACCGGAGUGGACGCAUCACUGGUGUUCGGGUUGUCAUGCCAAUGGCACUGCCCGGUAGCUAAAUGCGGAAGAGAUAAGUGCUGAAAGCAUCUAAGCACGAAACUUGCCCCGAGAUGAGUUCUCCCUGACUCCUUGAGAGUCCUGAAGGAACGUUGAAGACGACGACGUUGAUAGGCCGGGUGUGUAAGCGCAGCGAUGCGUUGAGCUAACCGGUACUAAUGAACCGUGAGGCUUAACCUU
rnacentral:rRNA from 1 species